UACGUAGGGUGCAAGCGUUGUCCGGAAUUAUUGGGCGUAAAGAGCUCGUAGGCGGUUUGUCGCGUCGGCUGUGAAAACUGGAGGCUCAACCUCCAGCCUGCAGUGGGUACGGGCAGACUAGAGUGCGGUAGGGGAGAUUGGAAUUCCUGGUGUAGCGGUGGAAUGCGCAGAUAUCAGGAGGAACACCGGUGGCGAAGGCGGGUCUCUGGGCAAUAACUGACGCUGAGGAGCGAAAAGCGUGGGGGAGCGAACAGG
rnacentral:rRNA from 1 species